rnacentral:rRNA from 1 species
UACAGAGGUCUCAAGCGUUGUUCGGAUUCAUUGGGCGUAAAGGGUGCGUAGGCGGCGCGGUAAGUCGGGUGUGAAAUCUUGGAGCUUAACUCCGAAACUGCAUUCGAUACUGCCGUGCUUGAGGACUGGAGAGGAGACUGGAAUUUACGGUGUAGCGGUGAAAUGCGUAGAUAUCGUAAGGAAGACCAGUGGCGAAGGCGGGUCUCUGGACAGUUCCUGGACGGCUGAGGCACGAAGGCCAGGGGAGCAAACGGG